rnacentral:rRNA from 1 species
UACGGAGGGGGCUAGCGUUGUUCGGAAUUACUGGGCGUAAAGGGCUCGUAGGCGGCCAACUAAGUCAGACGUGAAAUCCCUCAGCUUAACCGGGGAACUGCGUCUGAUACUGGAUGGCUUGAGUUCGGGAGAGGGAUGCGGAAUUCCAGGUGUAGCGGUGAAAUGCGUAGAUAUCUGGAGGAACACCGGUGGCGAAGGCGGCAUCCUGGACCGACACUGACGCUGAGGAGCGAAAGCCAGGGGAGCAAACGGG